rnacentral:miRNA from 1 species
GCAGACACAUUCCAGCUAAGCAGAAGCAGACCCUCCCUCCCAGACCCUCCCACCUCCUGGAUACCAUCCAUUGUGAAGCUGCAUUCUUAGUGAGCUGUCCAGGAGGUGGGAGGGUCUGGGAGGGAGGGUCUGCUGCUGAUUGGCUGGAAUGUUUCUG